rnacentral:rRNA from 1 species
UAGGGAAUAUUGGACAAUGGGGGCAACCCUGAUCCAGCCAUGCCGCGUGAGUGAAGAAGGCCCUCGGGUUGUAAAGCUCUUUUGUCCGGAAAGAAAAGCUUCGGGUUAAUACCCCGGGGUUCUGACGGUACCGGAAGAAUAAGCACCGGCUAACUUCGUGCCAGCAGCCGCGGUAACACGUAGGAAGCGAGCGUUAUCCGGAUUUACUGGGCGUAAAGCGCGUGUAGGCGGUCUGGUUAGUUGGAUGUGAAAGCUCCCGGCUUAACUGGGAGAGGUCGUUCAAUACUGCCAGACUAGAGAGUGGUAGAGGGAGAUGGAAUUCCGGGUGUAGUGGUGAAAUGCGUAGAUAUCCGGAGGAACACCAGUGGCGAAAGCGAUCUCCUGGACCAUUUCUGACGCUCAGACGCGAAAGCUAGGGUAGCAAACG